UCCAAAAGGAGGGCGAUUUCCACGGUCAAGUUACUGGUUGGGGUUGUUUAUACGGGCAAAUCAAAGCUGUUUCUGUAUGAGCAGCAAGCGGGUGUGCAGUGAUCGUAGGCGACUUGGGAUUGAGGGUUUGGAGGUAGUUGAUCGUCGUUGUCGUCGCAUCUGCCGUCACCGCGGGAAUCGCCAUUCAGCUCCUUGUACAGGGUUGUUUCAAGGCAAGAUUGAGAAUUGUGGAAAUAGGAGUUGUUGGUGUCGAAGGGGACAGUAGCAUGUUUGAAAAUGGCACCGGCGUGAACCCUUUUUCCCCAUUUGGAGAAGAGAAUUGGGAUAUGUAUUAAGUCCCGUUACAGGUCUCGGUGAAUUAGACCCAUUGAUGGAGGGGUUUAUAACCCCUGUUACGAACAUUGGUGGGCCGCACUGUACUUCACCAAUGAGAGCAUUUGAGACGGUACAAACGAAUGUAGUGAGCAAUGACAUUGGUGUAGUAACUUUUAUGGAGGCUCCUAGUUUGGGAAUGGUGUUUAGGACUUGGCAAGAAGUUGAAGAAUAUUACAAAGAGUAUGCUCAAUAGAAAGGGUUUGGGGUAAGCAGGGUUGCAGGAGCGUAUUUAAAGACUGGUGUUAGAGAUAGGAUUGCCAUGACAUGGAGGUGUGAGUGUGGGUAGGCCUGACAUUAGUGUUGUAAGGGAAGAAAAAAAAGGGCAAAAGCAAUGGAUGUUGGUGGGCCAGUAGGGACGGUUGGGGGACUCAUAUGUGAAGAUGAAUUGAGUAAGAGGAAGAGAAAGUCAAAGAAAUGUGAAUGUAAGGCAAUGAUAUAUGCAGGUCGUUCAAGCGCUGGUUAUUGGGUGAUAAGAAAAGUUGAAUUGGAACAUUCAAACCAUGAGCCAAAACCCGAGGAUGCUAAUCUUGUGAAAGAGUACAGAAUGAAGAAUAUGACCUCGAGUGUUAGGAAGAAGCUGUUGACCUUGUUUGAUCAGGGCGUACCUAUAUCCUAAAUCAUGGGUUGUUUUGAGUCUGAAGCUAAUGGGGAUGAAAUAUUUCGAAUGACUUUGAAAGACCUUCAACACGAAGUGUACAAGGCUAGGAGGAUUCGGAUGCUUGGAGGGGAUUCGAAUGCAAUGAUGGCAUAUUUCAACGAAAUGCAGGCUGGAAACCAAAACUUCUACCGCGCUCAGCGUUUGGAUGAGCAUGGACGUCUCAAAGAUGUUAUAUGGGUUGAUGCUCGGAGUCGUGCUGCGUAGGAGGAGUUUGGUGAUGUUCUUUGCUUCGAUGCAACGUAUCUUACAAAUGAGUAUGACCUUCCGUUUCUUAACUUUGCAGGCGUGAACCACCAUGGACAGUCAAUUUUGCUAGGAUGUGCUUUGGUAUCCCACGAGGAUUGCGAAACUUUUACAUGGAUGUUCAAACAGUGGUUGUCUUGCAUGAACAACCAAGAUCCAUUAGCGAUCCUUACAGAUCAGGCAGCUGCCAUGCGCAAGCCGUUAGAAGAAACUAUGCCUGGAACUCGACAUCGGUGGUGUAUCUGGCACAUAAUGAAGAAGAUUCCGGAGAAACAUUGGAAAUGUCCACGGUACGAUGAGUUGAAGAGUAAGCUAAAGACUGUUGUGUAUGAGAGACUUACUGUGGAGAAAUUUGAAAAGCGGUGGAAGGCUUUUGUGUGGCACUAUAAGUUAGAGAGUAAUGAUUGGCUAACUACUUUGUUCACCGAACGAGAAAUGUGGGUACCAGCAUACAUGAAAGAGUAUUUUUGGGCUGGUAUGAAAACAACACAACGUGUGGAGUGUAUAAAUAGCUUUUUUGACAGAUUUGUGAACCGGCAUACCAAGCUAUGCGAAUUUCCCGUGAAAUAUUCAAUGGCUAUGAAAAAAAAGGGUUCGCGAUGAAACGGAUGCAGAUGCGAAUUGCUCUAAGUACUUGCGGCGUCUUGCAAUUGGUUUCAAGAUUGAGAAGUUGUUUCGGAAGUUUUAUACUGACAGGAAAUUUCAAGAAGUUCAGACAGAAAGUAUUCGGAUGAACUAUUGUUAUUCUCAGGAGGAGUCAGCUGUUUCUGAAACUGUGACACAAUAGGUCUUGGAGGAUCGUGUGUGGAUUAUUUUGGAGAGUUCAAGUUAAGAGAUUAUUAUUGAUCGUAGGAGGUACUACCGUUAUGAAUUUAACUAGGACACAAAAGAGGUGUCAUGCGAGUGUCAUAGAUUUGAGACACACGGCAUAAUGUGUAAACACAUGAUGAGAGUAUUAGAUCUAAACCUUGUGUUUGACAUUCCAAGUAAGUACAUUCUCAAUCGGUGGAGGAAGGACUUAAUGAGGAAACACACACUUAUGAAGGUAUCAUACCAUGAUCCAUUUCAGAAUGUUGAGGUCAGAAGACAAAAUAAGCUAAUGGGAGCAUUUGAAUCCAUAUGUGAUGUUUCUUCCAUGAUCGAUGAUGACACUGUUGAUCUGGUUUUAAAGAGCUUGGUGGAUGUUGGGACAAAAGUAGAAAUGCGUCGUCGUAUGAAGUUGGACCAGACUUUUGGCAUGAACUUCCCUGGAGAGGGAAAGGGGUCCUUGCAAUAAAUUUCUGGGGCCGGUGCAACAUCAGCCACUAUUGUGCCCGAGACAGAGAUUCACCACUUAGAUUUAGAAACCACCCCACAUUCAAAGAUGGCUGAUCCUAUUCCAAAAAAAAGGGGGGGAGGUCGGCCCAAGGGUAGUCGCAGAAAAACCCUUCAAGAAAUUGGGUAUAAGAAUCGCCCAAAGAAGAAGGCAAAACAGCCGGUGAGUAUCAAUAUUAUUAAUGUUUCCAAUUAGUUGAGAAUUCUUCCACUUAGUGAUUUGAUGCGGCUCAUAUUCUAUUUCAAGUGUGCACUGAUGAUUAUAGCAUGUUCGAGGAUGAGUUGGUUGAUGUUCCUAUUCAAAUGCAUGUGAAACCAAGUAAAAAAAACAGUAAGACAAGUACUCCAAACGUGUCUCAACAAUGCAGUGGUUUAGAGUACAUUCCGGAAGACGAGGACUUCUUGAAAAUAGUACGUCGUCCUCGUCCUUUGUUUCGAACAACUUCUAAGGAAGGUGAAGACAUUACCUUAGUCUUUUGCAACCUGUGUGUCUUUUGCAACCUGUAACGAAUUCAUACUUUGGAUACUCUAGGCUGAUGGAAACUUAUUAUAACUCUUAA